GAUGAAGAACGUAGCGAAAUGCGAUAAGUAGUGUGAAUUGCAGAAUUCAGUGAAUCAUCGAAUCUUUGAACGCACAUUGCGGCCAUAGGUAUUCCUUUGGCCAUGCCUGUUCGAGCGUCAUUUACACCCUCAAGCCUAGCUUGGUGUUGGGCGUCUGUCCCGCCGUUUUCGCGCGCGGACUCGCCUCAAAGUCAUUGGCGGCGGUCGUGCCGGCCCCCUCGCGCAGCACAUUUGCGCUUCUCGGAGGCCCGGCGGAUCCGCGCUCCAGCAAGACCUUUCACGACUUGACCUCGGAUCAGGUAGGGAUACCCGCUGAACUUAAGCAUAUCAAUAAGCGGAGGA
rnacentral:misc_RNA from 1 species